rnacentral:lncRNA from 1 species
AGUAUCUUGACCUGCAUGGUUAAAAACGUGUGAGAAGUAUCAAAGUGCUAUCACAGGUUGGAUUACGAUCAGGUACAGAAGUGACACUUGCUUUCAUUUCUGAUCCUUUCAUUAUCAUAACACUCCACCAUGUGGGAACUCAAACAAGUGGCUAUGUCACUAUGGUGGCACGUGAAGCAGUUUUACAGCCAUUCUAGCUUCUUUUUUCUUUUAAAGCGUGUGCCCCUUGUGCAGCAAGCUUAAAGGUUCACUCCAGAAAACGCAACAAGUAUUGCCUAUUAAUAAGUCGAGAAGCAAAAACAGUUAUUCUGGCGAGCAAGACUUAUGAAGGUAAAUUUUUACCUGUCUACGAAUGAAAGUUGAGGGCGGGGAAGUGGGUUAUGCUUCGAUCCCCACGACCCAGGAUCCUCCCAUGUAUUUAACAUUAUUCCAUCCAUUGGGGUCUGACACCCUGUAUAUGAAGACAGAUUAGUGGAGCUUGCAACGGCCGUGGUGCCCGUCACCCCCAUAUUCUUUGUGUAUUGAACCUUUUGAGCAGCUUGCACGGCAAUCUUUGAAACUGGUACAUACAUGGAGCGCUGGCUCCCCGAUAAGGAUGGAUUCGUGUUGAAUACUCCCAAACCACUUUGCAAUCCAUUUGGCUGAGACUUGAGCUGAAGAGGUGGGAUGUUUGAAAUCGGUGUAGCUGUAGAUAAAUAAGGUGAGGACUUAGGAAACUGAUUCUUGAAUGCAUUAGAUCCAGAACUUGCGCCCAAGGAGCUGUUGGAGGACAGAGGGGUCGUUGCUUCGCCAGGUCUGUUGGCCGAUGUGAGGCAAGAAUACGCCAGCGAACUAGUAUUGGGUCGAGUGAAUGCGUUGAAGCGGGAGGAAACUGAUCCCGCCGGUAACUUCCCUAAUUGAGCCUCCGUCAAUUGUUGAUUUAACCACCUGCGCGAACAUUAGCAUGUGAACCAUGUACUCAGUGCCUAGUCCCCCAACUCGAAUAAAACAAUAAAUUCGUUAUCAACAAUAGUUAUGGUUGCUCGUCACAAGAGGUUCCAGAAACUUAAUUAUGACAACUAAGACUUUCAGCUGCGCCAUUGUUCUGUGCUCAGAUUCGUAUAAAGGAAAGAUUCUCUGGACACAACGCGGGACAUUAAGAGAUGCGAAGCUGAAUCUUAAAACAAACGACAUUAAACGAUGAGCCAAGUACUGGAUCAUUUGUUGAUUGGAUUGCAGUAGAUUCUGUGCUUCAUCCAGUUUAGUAGUGAGCUCCUCCGACUGGUCACACACAACAGACUUGGGUAUGAAAAUCUUUGAAGAAUCAUGUUAACGAACAUUAUGAUUAGCCUUAACCACCAGAGAAUAUUUUAUUUCUUUGAUUUUCAUAUAGGACUCGCGACUUUGAAUUGCCAAGGAAUUACCUUCUUCUUUUUAUCUUCCAUAUCAGCUUUUAGGGCUGUCAACUCAUUCCGUAGAUUAGCAUUGUCUGCUUGAGCCUUGUCAAUAGCAGACUGCCGCUCAUUGAGCAAAUUGUCCUGCUGACUCGUGACCUGACCUUUGAGCUUCACUUUUUGCUUUGAAGCGCGUAAUUCAACCUGCACGACAAAGGAUAAUUGGAGAAAAGAAAAGAAAAGUUCAGAAAUAAAGGCGUGCUCCCAUGAACGUCUUAGUACUCAAAUUUCAAGUAUACCUCGUGUAAAAUUUGAUGACGAAAACGCAAUAUAGUCAACUUAGUACCUG